UGUCUGACUCUGCCCUUCUGCCUACUGUUGCACACAGAAAAGACUCUUUUGUGCUGGGAAAUGCCUCUCUCAGGAAACCCACUUCCUUAUUCAAGCUUCACAUUCAAGAAAGUGCAAGCUUUUUAAACUUCAGAAAUGGGACUCGAUUCUGCAGAUUUUUUUAUGAGUUAAAAUGAAAAGGUGAUCUUGGUGAUAAGAGCGAAGAGGAGUGAGAGUUUCCUGCAGCAUUCACAGUCAAAUGGCAAGUCAGAAAAUGAAGCUGGCAUCAUGACUAACCAACACAGAACAUUGUGUGAUUGCAAUUUUCAGUCCUUGGAUCCUUCCUGAAUAUAAGUUUAUUCUUAACCAAGAAGAUAAAAUUUUUUAAGGUAGACCUAUAGAUGAAUCUGCUUCCUCUGACAAUGGAUGGUGCAUCAUUUGGGGAUAUAUGCUUGAGUGCUCUUCAUCGAACUCCUGUGAGGAACAGGAAUCAAAAUUAUCCCAAGAAUUUAUACCACAGCAGAAAAACUGGGAAACCAAUGCCACAAUGGAACAUUAUGCACUAUAUUUCAAAAAGAAAAGACUGAUUGGAAUGGAUUCUGAGAAGAGAAAGAGAAUUAUAAAAUGGACUGGAAAAUAAUACCUCCAGUUUGAGGAAAGGUUAACAGAGCUGGCCAUGUUCAGUCUGGCAAAAAAGGAGAUUGAGGAGAGACAUAGAAUAUCUGCCCACAAAUAUGUAAAGGACAUUGCCAAAGGAGAAAGAAUGAAUUAUCCUCCCUAGUCGAUGAGGAGCAAGGGGUAACACGCUUAUGCUACAGACAGAAAUAUAUGUUAAAAAUCAGGCUUGUUGAAUAAUAGAAAAAUGUGUUUGCCAGUAUGAUUUCUAAAUCUGAGAAAACAUUAUCUAUCUACUUUUUGUUUGGUUUAGUACAAAAUUCUGAAUUUUCUCUUUAUAUAUAUGUUAGUAAAAGGGCAAUUAUUCUCAGGAACAGUGAAUGUACUCAAAACCAUGAUAAAGGGUGUGCUACUGAAUACACUGUCAAACCAAUAGAAAACAUGAAUUUGUGCUCAAAUUAAGAAAUAUUUAUGCUGAAACUUUACUGCAAGUUUGUGUUUAAAAGCACAUAACUUAUUUUUUGAGAUGUUAAAUAGUAUUAGAAUGAGUUUGGCUCUCACAGAAAAAUUGAAAUUAACUUCUCUGUUCCAGAAAGUUACACUUUUCACAAAAAACAGAGUAUAUGCCUGAAGUUAAAUACAAGAGUCUUCUUCCUGAAGGCAGUGAAGUAAAAUAUCCUGCUUUUGGUCAUAUUUGCCAUGUGUUUAGCUGGUCUACCUUGAAAGAUUUGAUCACAUUUCAUGUUUCAUGUAGGUCAGGAUCAGACGUGUUUUUUAAUCUAUUCAAUUUAAUCUUCUAAAAGGUAAAUUAUUUUAGAAAUGUAUUGACUCAGGUGGAACCAUGUUUCUGUGCUCUCUACCUAAAUCUUACACUGAUCAUGAUACCAUAACUUAAUAUCUGUCUGUCAGCACUCUGUGAAGUUGUCAGCUUCUCUCCUAUUGUCUCCUAUAAGUGUGUAAGUGCAGGGCUAUUCUUUUUUCAACAACCAGCAAAAUGCCACUAACUCCAUGGUGGAACAUGUCAUGAUCAGAAGGGAGGAAAGGAAGAAGAAUGUUGCCUGCAAGUGAAAGUGAUGGGAUCAUUUUAAGUAGAUAGAAUGUAAUUACUAAAUUUGGAAUUUAGCCAGAUAAUCUGGCUAUACAUGCUGUAUUUGCAUAAGGUGUGUGAGGAAAACCACAGAUUUCUAAUGGCUGAAAUCUGUCAAGCCCUGGGUUUUACACCCCAUCCAUCUGAAAGGAGCAUAGUUGAACUUCGCUAUUUUCAUUCAAAACCACUUGAAAAGGUGAGAUCCUAUAUAAUUGGAAUUUUAAAGGAGUUCAUGUCGUGUUUAUGGAGCAAUCACUACUAAAUGAUUCCAUUUAAAUUUUUCAUAAGCUACACUUUAUGAAAAAUUAAAAGAAGUAGUCUCUUCAGAAGCUUUGCUAAGAAAUAAAGUCUCUUAAAGGAAUACAUAUGCCCUCUAAUCACACAUAUUUUCAAAUGUUGACUUUUCUACAUACAGAUAAACAGAAGACAGCAUUAAUGGGGAGAAAGAGGCAGGCACCUUUUCCUUACUCUGUCAGUAGUUUUGA